rnacentral:lncRNA from 1 species
UAAAAAAUUUGUUGUUCAUUCCUUUCCAAAUGUAACAUAAAAUCCAUGCAAAUUGAUGAUCCUCCAUUUGUGGAAAAACUAUCCAGAAUAAAUGAUCCAUAUUUGUAAAAAUAGCUCUAGUGGAAAAAAUAGAUGGGUUUGAUGGUAUCUGUGAGAGAGUCUAGAUCUGACGUGCUGGAGGGUAUAUACAUGGUUUAUUGAUUCUUCGGAGGCUUCUCAUCUGGCACAACACAUAUCCCCUUGUAGCCCUACAGAUUUUUUUUAACUGCUAUACACCCUAACACAAAUUAGCACAAAAAAAAUGCUAUAUCUUUGGUGGGCACAAAACUUUCCGGCAUAAC